GUAAGUCUACAUUUGUAGACAGGCCUAGUCUGUCGAAGGAGAAAAUGCGGAAAUUGACAUUGCGUUUGUUUUGGAUUUUUUUUUUUGGAAGCGAUGUCAAGGCAUAAAUAACACUACUCGUCAAACAAUCAACAAAUAACUCCACACAAAGUAUUUAUGAUUUCGCUUUAGCUACCAAAACAAGGCUUCAGGUUGUCUGCAUCACAGGAGAGAUGGCAUCAGUGAAAGACUGCAGUCAAACUCUCCGGCUCAAUGUCAUCACCAAAGAUAAAGAAGAGGAAGUGAAGAUCUGGGAAUGUGACGAUUACCCAGAAGAGAGUCCAGAGAUGGCAUCAGUGGAGACGGCAGACAGCAGUGAAACACUGGGGCUGAAUGCCACCGUUAACAAAGAGGAGAAGGAAGACAUUGGUGAAUCUGUUGAUCAUGGUAAAAGCAGGUUUUAAGUAGUAUUUUUAGGCCUGUCAGAGUAUUAAAAAACAAAACAAAUUAGUUGAUUAAUCUCAGUUUUAAAGGCGCUCACCAGUUGUAGGAGAACUCGUACACAUUGUAAAUAGAAUACAUAAUUUCAGAACGUGACCCUACCGCUUGCAUGUCCAUAUCAGACUGGGAAUACGUUCAUGAUCUCCUCCUAUCUGCAAGUAUAGUCAAUGACAUUACACCUUAUUGACAUCUAACUUUCACCAACCAGUUAUAAUACAUAUCCAUUAAAUACACAUUUCUGCAGUGGCAAGUGGAAACAUAAUUAACCCCGUUACAUAUGACUAAGUGGCUUUGGAUAAAAGCGUCUGCUAAAUGUUCUUAUUUUUUUAUUUAACCUUUAUUUAACUCGGCAAAGUCGGUUAAAGAACAAAUUCUUAUUUACAAUGACGGCCUACCCCGGCCAAACCCCAACGCUGGGGCCAAUUGUGCGCUGCCCUAUGGGACUCCCGAUCAUGGCCGGUUGUGAGACAGCCCGGAAUCGAACCAGGGUCUGUAGUGACGCAAAUGGCAUGUAUCAUAUACUGUGUCAUUGUCCUUAAAAAAGAAGACAAAGGAAAUGUAGCAUUAUUGUUCCAAGCAGAGAAACCUACCACGGAUCUCCAGACACUUAAAGCAGAGAAACCUACCACGGAUCUCCAGACACUUAAAGCAGAGAAACCCUACCACGGAUCUCCAGACACUUAAAGCAGAGAAAACCUACCACGGAUCUCCAGACACUUAAAGCAGAGAAACCUACCACGGAUCUCCAGACACUUAAAGCAGAGAAACCCUACCACGGAUCUCCAGACACUUAAAGCAGAGAAAGCUACCACGGAUCUCCAGACACUUAAAGCAGAGAAACCC